CCCCCCUUUUAAGCUUCUAUAGUGCUUUAAGACUAAUACAGAAGAGCAAAGUAAGUCUCCAUAACAUCUAGAGACAAAAUUGUAAAAUUCCCAUUUGAAUGCUUUGGAUAUUCUCUGGAAGCACAGUG